CUCACCGAAGGAACUACAAAUACCACCAACCAACAGGAACCUUCAUUGACCAAACCAUCCAGCUGUUGUGGAAAACCAAUCAGACCCAUGCACCACCCACCAAGGUAAACCAUCCCUUACUGACUGGAUGUCAGGUAGGAGUGGAGAGAACAGCACAUGAGGAGGACUGAUGGUAAUGCUAAGAGGGACAAGUGAAUGAAGAAAGUGUGAAUAAUGAAAAAUGAAGUUUUGUCAUCAUGAAGAAUGAAGAAGAAAUGGAGAACUAGGAGAGAGGGCUGAAGUAUAUGGACAUCAGUGAAAAAAAGUCAUGCAAAAUUCAUGGGAAAAAUAUAGAA